rnacentral:rRNA from 1 species
AACGCGAAGAACCUUACCAGGGUUUGACAUCCUGUGCUACACCCAGAAAUGGGUGGUCCCCGCAAGGGGCGCAGAGACAGGUGCUGCAUGGCUGUCGUCAGCUCGUGUCGUGAGAUGUUGGGUUAAGUCCCGCAACGAGCGCAACCCUCGCCUUUAGUUGCCAUCAUUAAGUUGGGCACUCUAGAGGGACCGCCGGCGACAAGCCGGAGGAAGGUGGGGAUGACGUCAAGUCCUCAUGGCCCUUACAUCCUGGGCUACACACGUGCUACAAUGGCGGUGACAAUGCGCAGCCAGCCCGCGAGGGUGAGCUAAUCGCAAAAAGCCGUCCCAGUUCAGAUUGCACUCUGCAACUCGGGUGCAUGAAGGUGGAAUCGCUAGUAAUCGCAGAACAGCAGGCUGCGGUGAAUACGUUCCCGGGCCUUGUACACACCGACUGUAC